rnacentral:lncRNA from 1 species
AUAAGUUGAAAUGAUGACCCUCAUUUGCAUUACAAACAACUGAAGAAAAUGUGUGAAUCUGUGGCUAGAAGAGAAAGAACUCUCUGGGUUUCCUUCUUGGGAAGUGGUUGUUGACUUGGGAAACCGUCCUCCUUCUGACCCAGUCUCCCACGGAGGUUGUAAGAAGUAUCCUGUAAAGUACACAGAAGCCUCUGAAUGAAAAUGUCCCUGAAGUGCACAAGUGAGGAAAUUACCACGCUUCUCCCAUUUGGUUCUGUUGGCAAAUUUGGCCCCCUGGCUCUGGGCAUCAGUGAGGGCUUCUGGAUGUGACUACAGCAGAGAUGUGUAUGUUCCGCUAGUGUUUUUGCCAAUGGGAACAUUGUAUUGUAUUUUCCAGAGCUUCUGUCCAAUGCCGUUGUGGAAAAACACAUUUGGGGACCUGGCUGUGGGACUUGCUUUCUACCUUUUGGAAAUUUACACCAUCACAAAAGACCGCAGCAGCCUGAUCUCUUUCAGCUGCUGCACCAGUUGAGUUAUCUCUUUGAUCUAAUAAACUCGUAUUGUAGCCCUCCUCUCCUCCGAGGGUUGGUGGGAGGAAGGCAAGAACCAGGUAAAGUAGAGGCUUUUAAAAAUCUAGGUUAAAGGUUUCAAAAGCCUGAUGAGAGAGGAAGAUUCCACUAGACAGUGUUCCUUUGAUUCCACCAGACAGUGUGGGCAUCAUUGAAGACAUCUGAGGGAACCUAGUUGCUGUCCAGAGUAGUGAGGUGUGGGCUUUACCGGACCUGCUUAAUGGAACACUUCCCGGGAACAGAAAAUGCCCAUCCAGAGACUGGAUUGAAUGGGUUUUUGAGAGUUUGCUCCUAUGACAGGACAUUGGUUAGGAGCUCAGGCUCUGAAGUUAAAAAUGAGUUUAAGGGGAAAGAUGGGAAGGGGUAGAUUAAGAGUUUAAGGUUAACACAUAACACACUACUAUGUAUAAAAUUCACAAUAAAUUGUGGAAGAUUCUUCAAGAGAUGGGAAUACCAGAGCAGCUGACCUGCCUCUUGAGAAACCUAUAUGCAGGU